GGUUUCUUGAUAAAUAUAAGAGAUUUAACCUGCCCACUGAUUUAAAUUGAAGGGCCGCAGUAUUUUGACUGUGCAAAGGUAGCAUAAUCAUUAGUCUUCUAAUUAAAGGCUGGUAUGAAUGGUUGGACGAGGUAAAUACUGUUUUAUAUUAAUAAGUUGAAUUUUUAUUUUAAGUAAAAAGACUUAAAUGUAAUUAAGGGACGAGAAGACCCUAUAGAGUUUAAUACGUGUAAUUUUAACUGAGUUUGUAAGGAAUUUUUGGUUAUUAGAAAACUUAUUUGGUUGGGGUGACAAAAGGAUAAUUGAAACUCCUUUUUGAGUUGAAUAUUAAUAAGUAGUUAUUUGAUCCAUAAUUAAUGAUAAAAGAAUAAAUUACCUUAGGGAUAACAGCAUAAUUUUUUUUGAGAGUUCUUAUCGAGAAAAAAGAUUGUGACCUCGAUGUUGGAUUAAGAUAAAUUUUGGGUGUAGAUGUUCAAAUAUUAGGUCUGUUCGACCUAUAAAAUCUUACA
rnacentral:rRNA from 1 species